AAAUCUGGUAACUGGGGCUAAGUCGUAACAAGGUAGCCGUACCGGAAGGUGUGGCUGGAACACCUCCUUUCUGGAGC
rnacentral:rRNA from 1 species